UACAGAGGGUGCAAGCGUUGUUCGGAAUUAUUGGGCGUAAAGGGAGUGUAGGCGGCUUGUUAAGUCUUCUGUGAAAUCUACGGGCUCAGCCUGUAACGUGCAGAGGAAACUGGCGAACUGGAGUGUGGCAGAGGGGGGUGGAAUUCCGCGUGUAGCAGUGAAAUGCGUAGAGAUGCGGAGGAACACCGAUGGCGAAGGCAGCCCCCUGGGCUGACACUGACGCUCAGGCACGAAAGCGUGGGGAGCAAACAGG
rnacentral:rRNA from 1 species